CUGAAGAAGAUAUCACAGGUUCAUCAAGUUCGUUGAAAUUAUCCAUACUUACUUUUAGUCAGCUUUGACGAAACUCCUCUCAUCUAGUGCGUCUUUUCAAAAUGGCUGGCAGUCUUGUCACCUGACCUGAGUACAGCGUGCCGAUUCGCUAAAAAAACUUAGCAGCCUCUGUUCACAAACAGAAGGGUGCUUGUCAGCUUCGACAGUAAAAGGUGAACUCGUGAUGCCUUGAAAGUGGACAAUACCUGCUUUUUUUUACAAAUCGUGUUUAGGGUUCAGAUUGCGCUAUGUGUGGAGAAUAAUGCACGGCACUCAGUUUUUUGCAAAUAAACUAUUCAAAUAGAUUGUUUAUAUAGAACAUCAAAUAAUUUUAUUUCAAAUACAAAGAAUAGAAGUUGUAUCUUGACCCCUUGAAAAAACCUGUUAAUGCUAAAUGAUGGAAAUGAUCUGACCAAUUUCUAUUCAUAUAUACAGAGAGAUUUGAUGUGUGUUAAAAUCCGACCUUUAAGCUAACGUGCUUCUAUUUCUACAAGCAUUUGACUCCUCCCAGGCCGCUGAAGCCCUGUGGUACGGGAAAAGGCGAGAACUGUGGUGGCUUGUGAGGCUUGGUUGGGGCGAAACCGAACAUAUGCACAGUCACAGCUUGUGACCUCAUACACACAGAGGGGCUAAAAAUAGCAGCUGUUCCCGACUUACCAACAACAGACCCUGACCACACACAAUCAAUGUAAACAGGCCAAAGAAGACAGCGCAUAUGAGACAGAAAAUUGCUUACAAUACAUUACCACAGGAAAUGAGUAACUAUGAGUCCAAAAUGCCAUACACACUAUGAAUGCUCCAUCCAAAGCCUCCCAGCAGGACUACGACCAGAAUGAUGAUGACCAGAGCAGGAAGUCCCCAGCUGAGCAGGAAGUAGAGAAGAUAUCGUCUCUC